GUUGUGUUGUGAUAUCUUCCCAUGAGUCCUUGAUCUUGAUCGUACACAUUUGCGCGUAUGAUUAGUGUACGAUUGAAUCGAGGGCGUCACAAGCCGCCGCGCCUGAGGACCGAGAGGAGUCGCCACCGAGAUCCGAGACUAGCCGCUGCGGCUGAGGACCGAGAGGAGCCGCCGCCUCCAGGUUGCGACUGUGACACACCGCCGCCUCCAGGUCGCCGCCGAGGUCCGCAAUCGCCGAAGCCGGCCGGCCCUCACCUCCAUAGACCUCCUCUCGGAUGGAUCCUGCACGUUGCUAGAUCGACGGAAGGGGACCUCCACCACCGCCGUUCUUCUCCCUCCCCGACCUCCCGUCACCGUGCUCCCCGGAUCUGGCCGUGGCUACAACCGGCGGAGCUUCCCGGCCACCGCCGACGACGCCAGCGAGGUGCAUACAAGAUGAAUCUUCAAGACAUGCUAUCUUGCUUCGUAAGUACUGCUAUUUAAGAUAGAUGUGGGUUAUGCUAAUCUGACUGGUGGGUUAUGCUAAUCUGACUGGUAAGUAUGGUAUUGUAGCUACUGUACAUGUCCCUCAAUUUCCCAGUUCCAUGUGUCAGGAUGCUAAUAUGGGUGUUACUAUAUUGCCUUCCAUUUUGUAAUAUGUUAUGUUUGCAAUUUCUCAGGGCCGCUGCUGCCGCCGUCCGUAGCAACGCAUAGGCCGCUUGCCCAGCUCCCUCAUUCCGAGCACGGCACCACGCGUCGGAGCUUGUCGGGAGGCACGGAAGGACGAACAGAGUUCUACCGGUGAUCCGUGUUGUCGUUGACGGUGUCAUAGGAUCUGCGGUGCACGUGGACAAGGCGAUGGGGCUGCCAACCUACCUCCUCUUCACCACAGCACAUGUGGAUUCUUGGGCUACCUCAACUUGGAUCAGCUUUUUCAAGAGGGGAUGCUUGCCAUUCAGAGAGUGUUCAGAAUAAUACUUUGCAAGGGACAGGAGCGCGAUGUCAAGCAGCAGCAGCAGGUUCUGCAGCUUCGACGACCCUGGUGAGUCCACGGUCGUGCUCAACUCCCGCCAACAGGGCGCGAAGGAGUUUCCCCUUGAACCCCAUGACCUGAUUCUCAGGUUCGUAAUUUAGCCUAUUUUUGGCUGUUGAUCACUCCUUUGUUUCUUUGUACAUGUUCUGAUUAAUGGUGCUUUGGAACAGUUCAACAUGUAGUUUUUGAUGGGAUUUAGUAUUUUUGGGCUGUUGAGAUGGAACAGUUCAACACGGUCGUAAUUUUGGGCUGUUGAGGUGGGAUUUAGUACAAAUCUGGGGAGCUGAAGCUUAAGAAGUUACAGAAUGAGUUUGCCUCGUUUUUCACUCUAUAUAUUGAUUUUAUUGACUACAAAGAUUUUGUAUUUUCCAUCGUCAAAACAGGCUGCACUAUUCCUAAAUUUUAUGACUAAUGGAGCUGUAUGGUGCAAUCUAAGCUGGAGUACAACUUGUAUGCUUAUUUAUAUCCCUCCUAUUGCUAAUACGCAGGAAGAUAUUUAUCAUAUAUUUUUGUUGCCUCAUAAAAAAAUGAACCUAAUGUUCUUCCCUGAUAUACUAUUAGUCACGGUGUUGGCUAUUGUUAUUUGAAGUAUAGAUUGAAAUGCUUCAGAUAUUGUGCCUUAUGAAAGAACACACUUAUGUUAUGAAAUCAAACUUUCCAGUUUCUAAAAAGAUUAAGUGUCUAUUGGCUGCUAAUAAUUUUGUUUAUAAAUAAAUUAUAUUGUUGUUUAUUAUAUAUGCAGGUUGAUUUGAACAAUGUAUAAGGUCGCCACUGCUGGCCGAGUUGGAUACCCAUUUGUGGUCCUUUUUUCCUUGUUCUUGUUGUACAGAUGACAGUUCAUGGAUUUCUGAUAUGAUUGCUUCAGUGAUGAUUUUUGCAGAACCACAUGCCGAUGGUGCACUUGCCUUUGGAAUUAAAGAUUAGCUUACUACACUAACCAGAUAUCAUAUAUAAAUACUCUACUCUACAGCAGUAUGAAGGGAUUUCAGGGCUAGCAAAUAUGUUAAAGAUAGAUACAGAGAAAGGCGAUUAGGGGAGUGGAUUCCGAUAAUGAUGCGAAAAAAAUUCCUUUGGGUCGAACACAUACUCUUGAAAGAAAGCAAGAAGCUUCUUGGUAAUGGAGAUGGUUCUCUUAUAUUUGGCAGGAGUCAGAAAAAAUCCAGCAUGGAAAAACACCACAUUCAACAUGGUGUAAUUAUGAUGAUCUAAACGAGUAUUCCUGGACUUCUGAUUGUUUCUCACUGCCAUGACCAAUACGGGAUGAUGGUGGCUUCUUCAAAUAUGUCCAAGAUAUGUCCUCUUUAGCAUCACUGUAUUUUUGAAAACGUUAUAUCUGAAUUUAGAGUGCACUUCUGCAAAAAAAGAUUUUGUCCUGAUUACUAUUUCGAUUUUAUUUCUGUAGGCACUGUGAAAUGAUCGAAUGCCGCUAAUCAUUUUGGAGGUUUGUUGUAGGGUGCUCUACCAGGUUUUUUGUUCAGAUAUGCUCUUUCUCUGCCUGCCAUUUUAGCCAUCAGUUGAGAAUUAUAUUCAGGUUAGCAAACAAGUUUCUUGAUACUUAUAAGGCGAACAUACUUAUAAGGUGAACAUACAAAAGAAAUAAAAUCUUGAUGACUUGUGAGCUUUGCCUAUUAACUUAAAAUUAACGCUGACAAGUUUCUUGUUCUGUACCAUGGUAAGUCAUGAGUCUGCUGUCUUGAUACAAGGAAAUAAGGAAAUAUUAGUUUUCUGCUUAUUCGUUCAUAUCUUAUUACUGAAAGGAUUGCCAGUGUAAUAGUAAUUCAAGUUUCACCUUUCGCAGUGUAGUCUGGAAUAUUUUAAUUAGCAAGAUGAACUCCUAUCAACUACUCCCAAGGUUUUCUGAAACUGUACGAACAUUUGCUAACAGAAACUUAAGUUAGCAAGUUUGCAUAGCUGCUUAGCUACCAAGUUGCUCUGCAGUUAAUAACUUAAUAUACACCUAUGUUAAAUACAUAUACUUGUUGAAAGGUUUUUGUGUACUGCUCCUUGUCCUUUAUGUGACAUUUACUUUCGCAGUCAGUCAUAAAUGGAUCCAGGUAGAUGUAUGGAUAUCUAUAUGGUGGAUGAUCCGUGUCAUUCUUUUACAGGUCAUAAUAUGCACCCACACAAUUCAAGUUCAUAUUCUGGAAGGACAUUGACCAACGAACCUUGUAGUAAUGUUACAGGUCAUAAAAUUGUGUAUUCCUACUAACCAUCAUUGCAUGUGUGCAGUGGUUAGAGAUUUUGUAGUGGAUAAUCAAUUAUCUUUAUCUUCUUCUAACUCAAGGAAUCAUACUGCAACAUUUCCUCCAGUGCAGGCAAACUCGAAUGAUAGUUAGUAAACUUGGUUAGUAAUAUUUUUUGUUUUCUUACCUUGCAUUUGUGAUACGUCACUGAACAUGUUUAUUAGUUUGUCACGUCACUCCUGCUUGACAUGCCAAUUCACAAAGGGCAGCCUGGUGCACAUCGCUCCCGCUUGCGCAGGGUCCGGGGAACGGUCCGACCACUUGACAUGCCAAUUCACAAAAAUGAAAGAAAUCCAGAUGACCUGUGAACCUCCCUGUUGACAUAAAAUUAAUGUUGUUUUAUGUCUAAGCCUCAUCUAUUAUAUACAUGUACAGUUACGGUGGUGGAUUUCAAUUCCUGUAACUUAGUUUUCUUACGAGAUGUAACUCAUCUACUAAUAUAUAGUAGUAUGUAUAAAGUUUCUUAAUCAAGCCAGCCCAAUGGACGGCACCAUACUUAGCCAAGCUAAUAGACGGCCCAUGCCCAGUACGAUUUUUUCAACUGCUGUAUAAUGGUAUUAUGAUUUCGUGCUCUUUUUCAGAAAAUCUGGGUGAUGAAGCUGACUCAAUAGAUCCAGAUUUUGGCCGCUAAAGCUGGUAGUGCAUCCUUGUCUAUGGUGUGGACAGAGGGAGAAAGGAGGCAAUUAACUACAGUCUAAAUGUAAAAUAAAAUCGUCUGAAUUAAAAUAGAAUCUGAUAAAACAAAACAAAGGAGGUCAUUAACUAGAGAAUUAGGCUGGACUAGAUAUACAUAUUAUACUGUAUUUUCCCACUAAAAACAUCCAGCGGGGAGGCUGAUGCAGCACUAUCACGAAUUGUUCCAGCUCUUCCUGAAUCGAUAUGGUUUGUCGAUGUUGGGAUCCUCGACGGUGAUUAGCAACUGAAUCGUGGAUGGAAGUACACUUUACUUCAAAGGAUUGCACACAUAUGAAGCGGUUAUUGAUGAAGUCAUGGAAAAGGGACUUGCCAAUGCUACACAGUCAUGAAAUCUUUGUCUGUUUCACUCUUCUUCCAUACAUGAUGUGCAAGGUUCUUGGGAUGCUCGGUACUGUUGCCAGGAGGUACGAAAUGGUUUGAUCUGUCAAGCAUGGAUUGCUGAAGCACAAAAUACAAGGGGGUGCAUGAGGAGGCGAGAGCUGACGGCAACCAUUGGAGGAGGUCUGGUCGGUCGAAGAGUAAGGCGUCGGCAACUCCGGAGAGAUUUGGCUUGAGCAAAUGUCGAUGCUACUGCAAUGAGAAGACCCUUUUCUGCAUGUAAUUCAGGCAAUAGCUGAGCUCCCAGCCUCCUAAGACUGGCAUGGGCACAUCAAUAAGGGCAUGGAGCCCGUCAAAGAGGAGGUCGGAGCGGCGUUGGACCUGGAUCAACUCAUCUAAAUCAAGCGGCCGGCCUCGGCUGGGAGUCACCGACGCUCCACCUGGACGGCGUCGGCUGGGACAGCUCCACAUGCAAUGGCUGGCCGGGGACCAGACCUCGACAGGAACGUGUUGCCCUUUGAGCCGGUGCAGAGCGACAAGUUCGUAGCAUCGUUAUAGUUUUUUGCACAAAGAUAGACCCUGUAGUACUGAUUAGGUGAAACAGAUCGAUGUGGCACUGGUACUGAACUGAAGCAACAAUUUGUUCAACAAAAUAUGAUCCAAAUAGAAAAUGAGUGCGCAUAUUAGUUUCUAUAACAAGGAAUCGUCGCCGGUUUUGUGCCA